UCAAAAUUUAAACGUUUAUUUCCUUCUCUCUCUCUCUCAAAAUCCCUACUCCCAUUUCAAAAUUCAAAAAAUAUGUAACCACAUAUUUGUGAAGAUGGCGGCCUCUGUUCAGGUAAGACGACAAAGGUAAGACGACGGUCACCCACCCUCAUCAAGCACCGACUGUCGUCGCCACCACUCACACGACCCAUCUCCGUCUCUGGUCACCCACCACCGUACUCCUUCUCCACCCUGAACCCCAAUCGCCGUACAAGGACGUAUUUCCGGUGGUCGUCUCCGGCGGUGGAACGGUCGCAUCAAUCUCUGGGUUUGAAGAGGGGUUAUCGCAUACAUGGUCAGCCUAGGGUUAGGAUGGAGAUGCAGUGAGAUGACGGCACAGCUUCUUACAGACCAACUGAAGAUUUCAAACGUCCUUAAAGAGCAGCCCUUCAUUAGAUUGACCAGGUGGUAGCACAUUAAUGGUGGCGAGCAACUGACUUGCAAUAGGAACUUUCUUAUCGUCGUUCCUGUAGCGUUGACUGGUCAUUAUAAGAUAAUAGAUUUGGAUGUAUCUAUAAAUAGCAAAAUAAGUGGGGUAACGCCGUAACGGGAUCAGAAUGGAUUCGGGGUUUGGGUCAAACCUAAUACGAAAUUCGUGGGUUUGGGUUUGGUAUAAACGGUUUCGGGUCAGUUUCAGCCGAACCCGCUUAGCUAAACGGUUCGUGUUUGGGUCGAAUCCGACAGGGUCAAGGAGAAGGAUCUGUUGGUGCUUAUCUUGAUAUGAAUGGAAACAGGGUGUCUACUCCAGCCGAUGCAUUAAUCCUCACCUUGUGUCGCCGGAGGAAAGGCCAGUUUUAAAUGGCUUGACAUCAUUCCCAGAAUCAGAGACUUCCCCAAGAAGCAGUUCCGGUAGCAACGGUAUUGUUCAGCCACGGUUUGCUCGCGCUUCCUCUUUAGGAGUGGCUUUGCAUAAGGAAAUGGUAGCGGCUCUUGCUGACUUGUUAUAUAAUGAUGAAAAAUUAAGUCUCAUCGAUGUUGCUGAUAUUGAACAAAUUCUAAACCAGUCCGAGAUGACAACGCAAGUUUUUCUGCAAGCAGUCUGGUAUCUUGCUCAAUCCAUGCUUGAAAAUAUUGAGUAUAUAAUCCAGGUGAUCGAGUCUGUACAGCACUUGUCAACAAACACCAUGGAAGCUCUAAAAGGGCUUCGAAAGAUUAGUAACAUUUUAUCGGAGAUGUGAGGUGAUUUUCUUCUUUAUAAUACAUAAACUGUAAUUAUGAUUUUUGGGAGUGGAUGGCACUCUUGUAAUUUAGGUUAACAGCUUCCGGUUAGCUUGUAAAUGUAAAUAUAUACAUGUAUCAUAUUAUUUGAGUGACAAGCUGAUUUUCAUAA